rnacentral:rRNA from 1 species
UUAGACUUGCUUGUCUCAAAGAUUAAGCCAUGCAUGUCUAAGUAUAAGCAAUUAUACCGCGAAACUGCGAACGGCUCAUUAAAUCAGUUAUCGUUUAUUUGAUAGUACCUUACUACUUGGAUAACCGUGGUAAUUCUAGAGCUAAUACAUGCUAAAAAUCCCGACUUCGGAAGGGAUGUAUUUAUUAGAUUAAAAACCAAUGCCCUUCGGGGCUCUCUGGUGAUUCAUAAUAACUUCUCGAAUCGCACGGCCUUGCGCCGGCGAUGGUUCAUUCAAAUUUCUGCCCUAUCAACUUUCGACGGCUGGGUCUUGGCCAGCCAUGGUGACAACGGGUAACGGAGGGUUAGGGCUCGACCCCGGAGAAGGAGCCUGAGAAACGGCUACUACAUCCAAGGAAGGCAGCAGGCGCGCAAAUUACCCAAUCCCGACUCGGGGAGGUAGUGACAAUAAAUACUGAUACAGGGCUCUUUUGGGUCUUGUAAUUGGAAUGAGUACAAUUUAAAUCCCUUAACGAGGAACAAUUGGAGGGCAAGUCUGGUAAUCG